GGACCCCAGGGAAUCCCCCCAGCACUCCAAAAGGUAAGGAGGCUGGGGGGAUUAAAUUUGAAAAAAAAAAUGUGUGUGUUAGUGUGUGUGUCAGUGAAUGUGUCUGUUAUUGGGUGUGUGUCUGCUAGUGAGUGUAUUACUGUGUAUGUCUGUUACUGAGUGUGUUUGAUGUCUGUUAGUGAGUGUGUGUUUGUCAGUGAAAGUGUAUGUAUGUCUGUCGCUGAGUGUGUCUCUGUCAGUAAAUGUGUGUGUCUGUUAGCUAGUGUGUAUGUGUCUGUUCGUGAGAGUGUGUGUGUGUCUUCAGCAUUUACCUUUCUCCAGCGUCGGACUCCCCAGUGUCUGCCACUCAGCUCCGAAAUGCACAUACGCGGCAAGAGACGCGCGCGCAUUUAAACCGCCCAUAGGAAAGCAUUGCUCAAUGCUUUCCAGUGGACAUUCAGUGUCUUCUCACUGUGAUUUUCACAGUGAGAAUCGCGGAAGCUCCUCUAGCAGCUGUCAAUUAGACAGCCACCAGAGGCUGGAUUAACCCUCAGUGAAACAUAGCCGUUUCUCUGAAACGGCUAUGUUUUCAGCUGCAGGGUUAAAACUAGAG